AUUGAACGCUGGCGGCAGGCCUAACACAUGCAAGUCGAACGAGUGGCGGACGGGUGAGUAAUGUCUGGGAAACUGCCUGAUGGAGGGGGAUAACUACUGGAAACGGUAGCUAAUACCGCAUACCAUCGGAUGUGCCCAGAUGGGAUUAGCUAGUAGGUGGGGUAAAGGCUCACCUAGGCGACGAUACCUAGCUGGUCUGAGAGGAUGAACAGCCAAACGGGAAGUGAGACACGGUCCAGACUCCUACGGGAGGCAGCAGUGGGGAAUAUUGCACAAUGGGCGCAAGCCUGAGGCAGACAUGCGGCGUGGAUGAAGAAGGCCUUCGGGUUGUAAAGUCCUUUCAGCGGGGAGGCGGUACCCGCAGAAGAAGCACCGGCUAACUCCGUGCCAGCCGCCGCGGUAAUAC
rnacentral:rRNA from 1 species